GCUUAAUUCAGGAUUAAGACAGAGCUUCUCCACUGGCAAAGAAACCUUCAUUUUAUUUCAUAAUGCAACAGAAAGAAAAUAUGACUUCUGGAUUGAAGGGCCCCUCCCUGCAGGAAGAAUGUACACUCCCAUCCUGUAGUUCAGCUUGGCCCUGUAACUCUGGCCAAUGGAGUGCCAGCAGAAGUGAAAAAAGCUGCAUCUGAGAAGUUUAAAGAGUCACACAUUUAUUCCACGACUGCUUCUCUCCUUGUAAGUGUACCUGCCUCCCUGAGUCAAGAAGAUUCCCUGGAGUUGGAAAUGGCAACUGGCUCCAGCUUCAGUAUUCUAGCCUGGAAAUCCCAUGGAAAGAGGAGCUUGGCAGGUGGGUACAAUUCCAUGGGGUCCCAAAGGGUCAAAUACAACAGCAUGAGUAAAAGCACAAGAA
ensembl:lncRNA